CCCGAAGCUGACGGUUCUCUCUAAUCUUUCCAAAAUCCAAAAUCGAUAGAUUCAAUACAAUAAUUUCUAUGCUUCUUCUACUGAAUGGAACUGGAAGUAACAGAAUGAAAAAUCUCCAUGUUCUUUUCAAGCCAAGGAUUGCCUUCUUCAAUUCAACGUCUUCUUCAUCAUCACCUCAGAUUUCAUCUCUGGAAACCUAUUUCAUCGAUCUAAUACAUGCUUCCGAUUCGACCCACAAGCUCCGUCAGAUCCAUGGUCAACUCUACCGCUGUAACAUCUUCUCCAGCAGCCGGGUCGUGACCCAGUUCAUCUCUUCGUGUUCUUCGCUAAAUUCUGUCGACUAUGCGGUUUUGAUCUUCCAGCGGUUCGAGUUGAAGAAUAGUUUCCUCUUCAAUGCAUUGAUUCGAGGACUCGCUGAAAAUUCCAGGUUCGAGAGCUCAAUUUCUUACUUUGUUUGCAUGCUGAGGUGGAAAAUUAGCCCUGAUAGGCUUACUUUUCCGUUUGUGCUCAAAUCAGCGGCGGCUCUGUCCAAUGGUGGCGUUGGGAGUGCUUUGCAUUCUGGGAUUGUGAAAUUUGGACUUGAAUUUGAUUCCUUUGUGAGGGUUUCGUUGGUGGACAUGUACGUGAAAGUUGACGAUUUGGGUUCUGCCUUGAAGGUGUUUGAUGAAAGUCCUGACAGAAUUAAGCAGGGAAAUGUGUUGAUUUGGAAUGUUCUUAUUCAUGGGUAUUGUAGAGUGGGGAAUUUGGUAAAAGCUACGGAGCUAUUCGAGACAAUGCCUAAGAAGGAUACAGGUUCUUGGAAUAGUUUGAUUAAUGGCUUCAUGAGAAAGGGGCAGUUGGGUCCAGCAAACGAACUGUUUGAGAAAAUGCCUGAAAAGAAUGUGGUUUCUUGGACUACAAUGGUGAAUGGAUUUUCACAGAAUGGAGACCCUGAAAAGGCACUGCAAUUUUUCUUUUGUAUGCUCGAAGAAGGCGCACAGCCGAACGAUUACACAAUUGUCUCUGCACUUUCAGCUUGUGCAAAACUUGGUGCCUUAGAUGCUGGUUUAAGGAUCCAUAAAUACCUUUCAAGCCAUGGUUUCAAAUUGAAUCAAACGAUUGGAACUGCAGUUGUGGAUAUGUAUGCAAAAUGUGGAAACAUUGAGUCUGCAGGAGAGGUGUUUGGUGAAAUAAAACAGAAGGGUCUUCUUACUUGGAGUGUUAUGAUCUGGGGCUGGGCUAUCCAUGGACAUUUUAAGAAAUCUAUACAAUACUUUGAAUGGAUGAAGUCUACAGGAACAAAGCCAGAUGGGGUGGUGUUUCUAGCUGUUCUUACUGCUUGCUCACAUUCUGGACAAGUAGACGAUGGACUCGAGUUUUUCGACAGUAUGAGGCGAGACUACUUGAUUGAGCCUUCUAUGAAGCAUUACACUCUGAUUGUAGACAUGCUAGGAAGGGCUGGUAGACUAGAUGAAGCUCUAAAGUUCAUACGAGACAUGCCUAUCAAUCCUGAUUUUGUGGUCUGGGGUGCUCUAUUUUGUGCUUGCAGGGCUCAUAAGAACAUUAAAAUGGCAGAAUUAGCAUCCGAAAAGCUUCUUGAGCUUGAACCGAAGCAUCCGGGGAGUUACGUAUUUUUGUCGAAUGCAUAUGCUGCUGUAGGAAGAUGGGAAGAUGCAGAGAGAGUGAGAGUUUCAAUGCGAGAUCGAGGUGCACAAAAGGAUCCAGGAUGGAGCUUCAUGGAAGUGGAUGAUAAGUUACAUAGAUUUGUGGCUGGUGAUAAUACACAUAAUCGUGCCCAAGAGAUAUACUCGAAAUUAGAUGAGAUAAAUGCAAGUGCCAGGGAAAAAGGAUACACAAAAGGAAUUGAGUGUGUUCUUCAUAACAUUGAAGAGGAAGAGAAGGAAGAAGCGCUGGGACAUCACAGCGAGAAGUUGGCGCUUGCUUUCGGGCUCAUUAGUACAGCCCCGGAGACGAUGAUUAGAAUAGUGAAAAACCUUAGAGUUUGUGUGGAUUGUCAUUCAUUCAUGAAAUAUGCCAGUAAAAUGAGCCAGAGGGAGAUCAUUCUGCGGGAUAUGAAACGAUUUCAUCAUUUUCAUGAUGGGGUUUGUUCAUGUGGAGAUUAUUGGUAAAAGAUUGUUGAUCAGAGAAGGUGGAGCUACUGAUGCUUUUGUUCCUGAGGUUGCCACUUAUAGCUAAGCCUACGUACUUCUCGAAUCUCCGUUCUCGCAAAAUUCUCUCGACCCGGAAGAAACCAUUUUCGAGAUAUUCGGCUCCGUUUUUAACUCUCACCAGGCUUCACUCGUCGAUUAAUUUUGAUCAACUCCCUUGUAGUUUCAGGACUGAUGGCUAAGAGCUGACUUCAAGCAAGAGCAUGAUCUUGGCAAGGAAGAAGCAAUCAGUUAUUAAUAAUGUUCUUUGAUUUCUUCCCCAAAACCUAGAAAAAUCCUAACCCGUCGCGAAUUGGUGGUUUCCAGCGACGUGAAACGCCGUCGGAGGCGGACAUUGAUGGUAGUUUCCGCCGAGGCUAAAUGGCGAAGUCGGCGGCGGCGGUUUCGGACCGCCGUCGAUUUCUCGAAUUUCUCCGCUCCAGGCUCUCAAACCCAUCAAUGGCAAUCGAAACUCCUUCAAUUCUUCCACUCUCACAUCCCUUCCGGCUGACCGCAUCAAAAGAGCUUACCGGCGGGAGAGAAGAGAAGAAUGGGAACCUCAGGUGCAGAGAGAAGAGAGAGCUGAGAAAAAGGUGACUUGCUUACCACUCUUCUCCUCUAUCUUCUUUAUUUCCAUCUUCUCAGCAUACAAUUUCAAAUUAUUGAAUUAUUGUUUUCUUUUUCAUUUUCAAGUAAUCGAUAAA